UGGGGAAUAUUGCACAAUGGGGGGAACCCGUGAUGCAGCGACGCCGCGUGAGUGAAGAAGUACCUCGGUAUGUAAAGCUCUGUCAGCAGGGAAGAAAGAAAUGACGGUACCUGACCAAGAAGCACCGGCUAAAUACGUGCC
rnacentral:rRNA from 1 species